GACCUCGGUAGCUUAGCGGUCAAAAGCAGUGGGGCAUAAACCCAAGACCUGGGUACGAAUCCCAGUCGAGUUCA